AACGAACGCUGGCGGCAUGCCUAACACAUGCAAGUCGAGCGCCCCGCAAGGGGAUCGGCGGACGGGUGAGUAACGCGUGGGAACGUACCCUUUGCUACGGAAUAUCCUCGGGAGACUGGGAGUAAUACCGUAUGUGUCCUUCUGGAGAAAGAUUUAUCGGCAAGGGGUCGGGCCGCGUUUGAUUAGGUAGUUGGUGUGGUAAUGGCCUACCAAGCCGACGAUCCAUAUCUGGUUUGAGAGGAUGAUCAGCCACACUGGGACUGAGACACGGCCCAAACUCCUACGGGAGGCAGGAGUGGGGAAUCUUAGACAAUGGGCGGAAGGCUGAUCUAGCCAUGCCGCGUGAACGAUGAAGGCCUUAGGGUUGUAAAGCUCUUUCAGGGGGGGAGAUAAUGACUGUACCCCCAGGAAAAGCCCCGGCUAAAUCCGUG
rnacentral:rRNA from 1 species